CAGCCGUAAACGAUGCUCGCUAGGUGUCAGGCAUGGCGCGACCGUGUCUGGUGCCGCAGGGAAGCCGUGAAGCGAGCCACCUGGGAAGUACGGCCGCAAGGCUGAAACUUAAAGGAAUUGGCGGGGGAGGCACAACAACGGGUGGAGCCUGCGGUUUAAUUGGACUCAACGCCGGACAACUCACCGGGGCGGACAGCAAUAUGUAGGCCAAGCUGAAGACUUUGCCUGAAUCGCUGAGAGGAGGUGCAUGGC
rnacentral:rRNA from 1 species